rnacentral:tRNA from 1 species
GACAGCGUGUCCGAGUGGUUAAGGAGGUGGACUCGAAAUCCACUAGGCUAUGCCUGCGCAGUUCGAAUCCUGCCGCUGUCG